rnacentral:rRNA from 1 species
UACGUAGGUGGCAAGCGUUGUUCGGAAUUAUUGGGCGUAAAGGGCGCGUAGGCGGCCAGCACAAGUCAGUUGUGAAAUCUCCGAGCUUAACUCGGAAAGGUCAACUGAUACUGUGCGGCUAGAGUGCGGAAGGGGCAACUGGAAUUCUUGGUGUAGCGGUGAAAUGCGUAGAUAUCGGGAGGAACACCUGUGGCGAAGGCGGCCCCCUGGUUGGAUACUGACGCUGAUACGCGAAAGCGUGGGGAGCAAACAGG